rnacentral:rRNA from 1 species
GCGAUACAGGGUGACAGCCCCGUACACAAAAAUGCACAUACUGUGAGCUCGAUGAGUAGGGCGGGACACGUGGUAUCCUGUCUGAAUAUGGGGGGACCAUCCUCCAAGGCUAAAUACUCCUGACUGACCGAUAGUGAACCAGUACCGUGAGGGAAAGGCGAAAAGAACCCCGGCGAGGGGAGUGAAAAAGAACCUGAAACCGUGUACGUACAAGCAGUGGGAGCACGCUUAGGCGUGUGACUGCGUACCUUUUGUAUAAUGGGUCAGCGACUUAUAUUCUGUAGCAAGGUUAACCGAAUAGGGGAGCCGAAGGGAAACCGAGUCUUAACUGGGCGUUAAGUUGCAGGGUAUAGACCCGAAACCCGGUGAUCUAGCCAUGGGCAGGUUGAAGGUUGGGUAACACUAACUGGAGGACCGAACCGACUAAUGUUGAAAAAUUAGCGGAUGACUUGUGGCUGGGGGUGAAAGGCCAAUCAAACCGGGAGAUAGCUGGUUCUCCCCGAAAGCUAUUUAGGUAGCGCCUCGUGAAUUCAUCUCCGGGGGUAGAGCACUGUUUCGGCAAGGGGGUCAUCCCGACUUACCAACCCGAUGCAAACUGCGAAUACCGGAGAAUGUUAUCACGGGAGACACACGGCGGGUGCUAACGUCCGUCGUGAAGAGGGAAACAACCCAGACCGCCAGCUAAGGUCCCAAAGUCAUGGUUAAGUGGGAAACGAUGUGGGAAGGCCCAGACAGCCAGGAUGUUGGCUUAGAAGCAGCCAUCAUUUAAAGAAAGCGUAAUAGCUCACUGGUCGAGUCGGCCUGCGCGGAAGAUGUAACGGGGCUAAACCAUG